rnacentral:rRNA from 1 species
GACGAACGCUGGCGGCGUGCUUAACACAUGCAAGUCGAGCGGUAAGGCCCUUUCGGGGGUACGACGAGCGGCGAACGGGUGAGUAACACGUGGGUGACCUGCCCUCAGCUCUGGGAUAAGCCUGGGAAACUGGGUCUAAUACUGGAUAUGACUCCACGGUGCAUGUCGUGGGGUGGAAAGCCUUGUGCGGCUGAGGAUGGGCCCGCGGCCUAUCAGCUUGUUGGUGGGGUGAUGGCCUACCAAGGCGACGACGGGUAGCCGGCCUGAGAGGGCGACCGGCCACACUGGGACUGAGACACGGCCCAGACUCCUACGGGAGGCAGCAGUGGGGAAUCUUGCGCAAUGGCGAAAGCCUGACGCACCGACGCCGCGUGA